rnacentral:snoRNA from 1 species
GAUUGGAUGAUGUACUUUGAUUAACUCAUAAAUCGCAAUGCUCUGAGCGACACAUUUGUUUUGGUUGUUUUUUUAGUCUGAACAUC